GGAUAUGUAGCUUGGAUGGUAGAGUGCUUGCCUAGCAUGCACAAAGCCCUAGGUUCAAUCCCCAGCACUGCA
rnacentral:tRNA from 1 species